UGGGGAAUAUUGCACAAUGGAGGGAACUCUGAUGCAGCAACGCCGCGUGCGGGAUGACGGCCUUCGGGUUGUAAACCGCUUUCAGCCAUGACGAGGCUUUUGUGACGGUAGUGGUAGAAGAAGCACCGGCUAACUACGUGCCAGCAGCCGCGGUGAUACGUAGGGUGCGAGCGUUGUCCGGAAUUAUUGGGCGUAAAGAGCUUGUAGGCGGUUUGUCGCGUCGAUAGUGUAAACACGCAGCUUAACUGUGUGCCUGCUGUCGAUACGGGCUGACUAGAGGAGGGUAGGGGAGAAUGGAAUUCCCGGUGGAGCGGUGGAAUGCGCAGAUAUCGGGAGGAACACCAGUGGCGAAGGCGGUUCUCUGGACCUUUCCUGACGCUGAGAAGCGAAAGCGUGGGUAGCAAACAGG
rnacentral:rRNA from 1 species